GCCACAGCUGAGUCGGGUGGAGCAUGAGACUCUUAAUCUCAGGGUUGGGGGUUUGAGACCCACGCUGGGCA